UUAAAUUGAAGAGUUUGAUCAUGGCUCAGAUUGAACGCUGGCGGCAGGCCUAACACAUGCAAGUCGAACGGUAACAGGAAGCAGCUUGCUGCUUUGCUGACGAGUGGCGGACGGGUGAGUAAUGUCUGGGAA
rnacentral:rRNA from 27 species